GACGAACGCUGGCGGCGUGCUUAACACAUGCAAGUCGAACGGAAAGGCCCUGCUUUUGUGGGGUGCUCGAGUGGCGAACGGGUGAGUAACACGUGAGUAACCUGCCCUUGACUUUGGGAUAACUUCAGGAAACUGGGGCUAAUACCGGAUAGGAGCUCCUGCUGCAUGGUGGGGGUUGGAAAGUUUCGGCGGUUGGGGGUGGACUCGCGGCUUAUCAGCUUGUUGGUGGGGUAGUGGCUUACCAAGGCUUUGACGGGUAGCCGGCCUGAGAGGGUGACCGGCCACAUUGGGACUGAGAUACGGCCCAGACUCCUACGGGAGGCAGCAGUGGGGAAUAGUGCACAAUGGGCGGAAGCCUGAUGCAGCAACGCCGCGUGCGGGAUGACGGCCUUCGGGUUGUAAACCGCUUUCGCCUGUGACGAAGCGUGAGGGAGGGUAAUGGGUAAAGAAGCACCGGCUAACUACGUG
rnacentral:rRNA from 1 species